UACGAAGGGGGCGAGCGUUGUUCGGAUUUACUGGGCGUAAAGGGCGCGCAGGCGGUUCUGUUUGUCGAGUGUGAAAGCCCCGGGCUCAACCUGGGAACUGCGCUCGAAACGGCGGAACUAGAGUUCGGGAGAGGAGAGUGGAAUUCCCAGUGUAGAGGUGAAAUUCGUAGAUAUUGGGAAGAACACCGGUGGCGAAGGCGGCUCUCUGGACCGAUACUGACGCUGAGGCGCAAAAGCGUGGGGAGCAAACAGG
rnacentral:rRNA from 1 species